CGUAAAGGUGCAUGAGUGGUGUUUGGUUUGUUACGUGUGGUUGGCUGCGGCGCUUGCAACAACUUCCAUGCUUUCAUACCUCUUCAGUUAUGCGKCAAGGCUUGUAUCGCCUUGAGCGUGUUGUGGGUUUSCUGUGUUGAAUACCUGAUCAAUGGUAUCGGUUGGAUAGAUGAAAGUUUCAUUUCGUCUUGCGUUGCGUUUGCGGCGUGAGAUGAACCAUGACGCGGUCUCUUUGAUCCACCUUGUUGAAGGAAUGUUUCAACAUUGUGGCUCAUCGAGCAUUGCUUGGUCUCUUGCAUACGGAACAUAUAGUGGGCAUGGAUCUAACGAUUCUUGUUUGCCCUUAUGUUAGCGUUCUCGCUUCUCUAAAACGACUUGCGCUGCGUGUUGGCUUGUCCAUCCGCUGUGCUUCGUCGAAGAGGA
rnacentral:misc_RNA from 1 species